rnacentral:tRNA from 1 species
GGAGGGGACGUUCAGUGUUAGUGUGUGUGCAUGCUAAGCACAAGGUCCUGGGUUCGAUCCCCAGUACCUCCA